rnacentral:rRNA from 1 species
GGCCGCGGGAAUUCGAUUAGAGUUUGAUCCUGGCUCAGAUUGAACGCUGGCGGCAUGCCUAACACAUGCAAGUCGAACGGCAGCGCGGGAGCUUGCUCCUGGCGGCGAGUGGCGGACGGGUGAGGAAUGCAUCGGAAUCUGCCCCGACGUGGGGGAUAACGUAGGGAAACUUACGCUAAUACCGCAUACGUCCUAACGGGGAAAGCGGGGGAUCUUCGGACCUCGCGCGGCGGGAUGAGCCGAUGCCGGAUUAGCUAGUUGGCGGGGUAAAAGCCCACCAAGGCGACGAUCCGUAGCUGGUCUGAGAGGAUGAUCAGCCACACCGGGACUGAGACACGGCUCGGACUCCUACGGGAGGCAGCAGUGGGGAAUAUUUGACAAUGGGGGCAACCCUGAUCCAGCAAUGCCGCGUGUGUGAAGAAGGCCUUCGGGUUGUAAAGCACUUUUAUCAGGAAAGAAAUCCAGUUGAUUAAUACCCGGCUGGGAUGACGGUACCUGAGGAAUAAGCACCGGCUAACUUCGUGCCAGCAGCCGCGGUAAUACGAAGGGUGCAAGCGUUAAUCGGAAUUACUGGGCGUAAAGGGUGCGCAGGCGGCCUGUUAAGUCAGAUGUGAAAGCCCUGGGCUCAACCUGGGAACUGCAUUUGAUACUGGCAGGCUGGAGUGCGGUAGAGGGUGGUGGAAUUCCCGGUGUA